rnacentral:rRNA from 1 species
GAAUUGCUAGUAAUGGCAGGUCAGCAUACUGCCGUGAAUACGUUCCCGGGCCUUGUACACACCGCCCGUCACACCAUGAGAGUUGGGAAUACCCGAAGCCUGUGAGCUAACUUUAAGAGGCAGCAGUCGAAGGUAGAAUCAAUGAUUGGGGUGAAGUCGUAACAAGGUAAC